UACAGAGGUCUCAAGCGUUGUUCGGAUUCAUUGGGCGUAAAGGGUGCGUAGGCGGCGCGGUAAGUCGGGUGUGAAAUCUCGGAGCUUAACUCCGAAACUGCAUUCGAUACUGCCGUGCUUGAGACUGGAGAGGAGACUGGAAUUUACGGUGUAGCGGUGAAAUGCGUAGAUAUCGUAAGGAAGACCAGUGGCGAAGGCGGGGUCUCUGGACAGUUCCUGACGCUGAGGCAACGAAGGCCAAGGGAGCAAACGGGG
rnacentral:rRNA from 1 species